rnacentral:tRNA from 1 species
CGGGGAGUAGCAUAGCGGCCUAAUGCGCAGGGCUGGGGGUCCUGAGACCGGAGGUUCAAAUCCUCUCUCCCCGACCA